rnacentral:rRNA from 1 species
AUUGAACGCUGGCGGAAUGCUUUACACAUGCAAGUCGAACGGCAGCACGGACUUCGGUCUGGUGGCGAGUGGCGAACGGGUGAGUAAUGUAUCGGAACGUACCCAGUCGUGGGGGAUAACGUAGUGAAAAUUACGCUAAUACCGCAUACGAUCUAUGGAUGAAAGCGGGGGAUCGCAAGACCUCGCGCGAUUGGAGCGGCCGAUAUCAGAUUAGGUAGUUGGUGGGGUAAAGGCCCACCAAGCCAACGAUCUGUAGCUGGUCUGAGAGGACGACCAGCCACACUGGAACUGAGACACGGGCCAGACUCCUACGGGAGGCAGCAGUGGGGAAUUUUGGACAAUGGGCGAAAGCCUGAUCCAGCCAUUCCGCGUGCAGGAUGAAGGCCCUCGGGUUGUAAACUGCUUUUGUACAGAACGAAAAGGUUUCUACUAAUACUAGGAGCUCAUGACGGUACUGUAAGAAUAAGCACCGGCUAACUACGUGCCAGCAGCCGCCGUAA